UGUUCCGCCAGGAGCAUGGCUGGGUAGCUACGUACGGACGGGAUAAGCGCUGAAAGCAUCUAAGCGUGAAGCCCCCCUCAAGAUGAGAUUUCCCAGUAUGUAAGACCCCUUGUAGACGACGAGGUAGAUAGGUUGGAGGUGGAAGUGCAGCAAUGCAUGGAGCUGACCAAUACUAAUCGGUCGAGGGCUUAUCCAA
rnacentral:rRNA from 1 species